rnacentral:misc_RNA from 1 species
UAUUCAAAGGAUUUGGAAAGAAA